rnacentral:rRNA from 1 species
UACGGAGGGUGCAAGCGUUAAUCGGAAUUACUGGGCGUAAAGCGUGCGCAGGCGGUUUGUUAAGUCCGUUGUGAAAUCCCCGGGCUCAACCUGGGAAUGGCAGUUGAGACUGGCAGGCUGGAGUGUGUCAGAGGGGGGUAGAAUUCCACGUGUAGCAGUGAAAUGCGUAGAGAUGUGGAGGAACAUCAGUGGCGAAGGCGGCCAUCUGGGACAACACUGACGCUGAAGCACGAAAGCGUGGGGAGCAAACAGG